AUGGCACACUUGAUGCAAGAAAUAUUUGGAUACACAGAUGAGUUGUGUAGAGCUUUGCAAAAGCAAGACGAAGAUAUUGUUCAUGCUAUUGAGCUUGUUGGUGACACAAAGUAUUACUUGGAGGCUUUGAGGACCGAUGCUGGAUGGGAUGAUUUUCUCACAAAGGUCACAUCUUUUUGUACAAAGCAUAAGAUCAAAGUUGUUGAUAUGGAGGGUCCUUACUUUCCCGUUGGUCGGCCUAGAAGAGGUUUAUGUAAUGGUGUGAACAAUUACCACCGCUUCAAGGUUGAUAUAUUUGUGGGUGUCAUUGAUAGGCAAAUUAGUGAGCUGAAUGGCAGAUUUGAUGAGGUAAACACGGAACUACUUUCUUGCAUGGCAGCUUUCUGUCCACUUCAUCUAUUUGCUGCUUAUGACCAAGAGAAGUUGGUUAGGCUUGCUACAAAGUUUUAUGCUUCUGAUUUUACAAGUGAUGAACUGGCAAGACUUCCAUGGCAACUAAACAUGUAUGUUACUAAUGUGCGUAGAGAUGAAAGGUUUCAAAAUCUGAAAAAUAUGUGUCAGCUUUCAGUUAUACUUGUUGAGACAAACAAUCAUGAAUAA
rnacentral:rRNA from 1 species